GCCGGCUGCGACCGGACUCUCCCCUGGGGAGACGGUGCCUGGGUCCUGACCCGGGAAGCGCCUCUCUUUGUUCGCACCCUUGCGAGUUCUAGCGGAGGACGACGAGGCUCUGGGUGGAUUUCUCCUUGGUUGUGUCCCCCCCAGCGUCAGUCCUGAGAAAGCUAAGGAGACGGUCGGCUUAGUCUCAGACGCAACCUUUUUUCUUUGAAAUUUUAGUUCACAAUGGAUGUAAUUGGAAAAAUAACAGGGUUCAGGUAUAAGCAGGUGAACGUUUGAUAUUAGAGAGAAAAACAGCAGUGUGUAAGGGGAAAAAGAACCUGAUUUCCAUUUUCAUGGAGGAUUCACUGGAGGAUUUCUUUUCAGUCUAAAUUGUUGACUUUUAUAUAUUCUGACAUUA